rnacentral:rRNA from 1 species
AUGAACGCUGGCGGCGUGCCUAAUACAUGCAAGUCGAGCGAACAGACGAGGAGCUUGCUCCUCUGACGUUAGCGGCGGACGGGUGAGUAACACGUGGAUAACCUACCUAUAAGACUGGGAUAACUUCGGGAAACCGGAGCUAAUACCGGAUAAUAUAUUGAACCGCAUGGUUCAAUAGUGAAAGACGGUUGUGCUGUCACUUAUAGAUGGAUCCGCGCCGCAUUAGCUAGUUGGUAAGGUAACGGCUUACCAAGGCAACGAUGCGUAGCCGACCUGAGAGGGUGAUCGGCCACACUGGAACUGAGACACGGUCCAGACUCCUACGGGAGGCAGCAGUAGGGAAUCUUCCGCAAUGGGCGAAAGCUUGACGGAGCAACGCCGCGUGAGUGAUGAAGGUCUUCGGAUCGUAAAACUCUGUUAUUAGGGAAGAACAAAUGUGUAAGUAACUAUGCACGUCUUGACGGUACCUAAUCAGAAAGCCACGGCUAACUACGUG